rnacentral:tRNA from 1 species
GAGGGUGUAUCUCAGUGGUAGAGUGUGUGCAUAGCAUACAUGAGGUCCUGGGUUCAAGCCCCAGUACCUGUG